rnacentral:rRNA from 1 species
ACGAAGGGUGCAAGCGUUACUCGGAAUUACUGGGUGUAAAGCGCGUGUAGGCGGGAGGCCAAGUCUGUGGUGAAAUCGCCUGGCUUAACUGGGCGGGGUCCAUGGAAACUGGUCACCUGGAGGUCGGUAGAGGCAAGUGGAAUUCCCGGUGUAGUGGUGAAAUGCGUAGAGAUCGGGAGGAACACCAGUGGCGAAGGCGGCUUGCUGGGCCGGACCUGACGCUGAGACGCGAAGGCGUGGGGAGCGAACGGGA